GAUGAAGAACGUAGCGAAAUGCGAUAAGUAAUGUGAAUUGCAGAAUUCAGUGAAUCAUCGAAUCUUUGAACGCACAUUGCGCCCGCCAGUAUUCUGGCGGGCAUGCCUGUUCGAGCGUCAUUUCAACCAUCAAGCCCCCGGCUUGUGUUGGGGACCUGCGGCUGCCGCAGGCCCUGAAAACCAGUGGCGGGCUCGCUAGUCACUCCGAGCGUAGUAAUACAUCUCGCUCAGGGCGUGCUGCGGGUUCCGGCCGUUAAAAAGCCUUAUUUCCCCAAGGUUGACCUCGGAUCAGGUAGGAAGACCCGCUGAACUUAAGCAUAUCAAUAAGCGGAGGA
rnacentral:misc_RNA from 1 species